GACGGAGGAUGCAAGUGUUAUCCGGAAUCACUGGGCGUAAAGCGUCUGUAGGUGGUUUAAUAAGUCAACUGUUAAAUCUUGAGGCUCAACCUCAAAAUCGCAGUCGAAACUAUUAGGCUAGAGUAUAGUAGGGGUAAAGGGAAUUUCCAGUGGAGCGGUGAAAUGCGUAGAGAUUGGAAAGAACACCGGUGGCGAAGGCGGCCUUCUGGACAGUGACUGACGCUGAGACGCGAAAGCGUGGGGAGCAAACAGG
rnacentral:rRNA from 1 species